rnacentral:rRNA from 1 species
UACCUACCGUGAGGUGAGGAAUACCACCGAGAAAUCGGUGACAAGACCGCAUACGCUCUUUCUUGCAAGAGAGAGAGCAAAGCCCUUUUCGGAGGGGCGCCACACGAUGGGCCUGCGCCUGAUUAGCUAGUUGGUGGGGUAAGAGCCUACCAAGGCCACGAUCAGUAGCUGGUCUGAGAGGACGAUCAGCCACACUGGGAUUGAGAACGGCCCAG